rnacentral:rRNA from 1 species
CCUACGGGAGGCAGCAGUGGGGAAUUUUGGACAAUGGGCGCAAGCCUGAUCCAGCAAUGCCGCGUGAGUGAAGAAGGCCUUCGGGUUGUAAAGCUCUUUUGUCAGGGAAGAAACGGUUGUUCCUAAUACGGAUGGCUAAUGACGGUACCUGAAGAAUAAGCACCGGCUAACUACGUGCCAGCAGCCGCGGUAAUACGUAGGGUGCAAGCGUUAAUCGGAAUUACUGGGCGUAAAGCGUGCGCAGGCGGUUAUAUAAGUCAGAUGUGAAAUCCCCGGGCUCAACCUGGGAACUGCAUUUGAGACUGUAUGGCUAGAGUGUGUCAGAGGGGGGUAGAAUUCCACGUGUAGCAGUGAAAUGCGUAGAUAUGUGGAGGAAUACCGAUGGCGAAGGCAGCCCCCUGGGAUAACACUGACGCUCAUGCACGAAAGCGUGGGGAGCAAACAGGAUUAGAUACCCUGGUAGUCCACGCCCUAAACGAUGUCUACUAGUUGUCGGGACUUAAUUGUCUUGGUAACGCAGCUAACGCGUGAAGUAGACCGCCUGGGGAGUACGGUCGCAAGAUUAAAACNCAAAUGAAUUGACGGCUGAGAGAGCGAGACGACGACGAGGGAGGAGG